AGAUUGAACGCUGGCGGCAUGCCUUACACAUGCAAGUCGAACGGCAGCACGGGAGCAAUCCUGGUGGCGAGUGGCGAACGGGUGAGUAAUAUAUCGGAACGUGCCCAGUCGUGGGGGAUAACGUAGAGAAAUUUACGCUAAUACCGCAUACGAUCCAAGGAUGAAAGCGGGGGACCGUAAGGCCUCGCGCGACUGGAGCGGCUGAUAUCAGAUUAGCUUGUUGGUGAGGUAAAAGCUCACCAAGGCGACGAUCUGUAGCUGGUUUGAGAGAACGACCAGCCACACUGGGACUGAGACACGGCCCAGACUCCUACGGGAGGCAGCAGUGGGGAAUAUUGGACAA
rnacentral:rRNA from 1 species